rnacentral:rRNA from 1 species
UACGGGGGGGGGCAAGCGUUGUUCGGAAUUACUGGGCGUAAAGGGCUCGUAGGUGGCCAACUAAGUCAGACGUGAAAUCCCUCGGCUUAACCGGGGAACUGCGUCUGAUACUGGAUGGCUUGAGUUUGGGAGAGGGACGCGGAAUUCCAGGUGUAGCGGUGAAAUGCGUAGAUAUCUGGAGGAACACCGGUGGCGAAGGCGGCGUCCUGGACCAACACUGACACUGAUGAGCGAAAGCCAGGGGAGCAAACGGGG